UCAGAUUUGAAAUCUGGCCUCUUUGGGGUCCGAGUUGUAAUCUGUAGAGGAUGCUUUUGGCGAUGCGCCUUCCGAGUCCCCUGGAACGGGGCGCCAGAGAGGGUGAGAGCCCCGUAUGGUUGGACGCCGAACCUCUGUAAAGCUCCUUCGACGAGUCGAGUAGUUUGGGAAUGCUGCUCAAAAUGGGAGGUAAAUUUCUUCUAAAGCUAAAUACCGGCCAGAGACCGAUAGCGCACAAGUAGAGUGAUCGAAAGAUGAAAAGCACUUUGAAAAGAGGGUCAAAUAGCACGUGAAAUUGCUGAAAGGGAAGCGCUUGUGACCAGACUUGCGCCCGGUUGAUCAUCCAGCGUUCUCGCUGGUGCACUCUGCCGGGCUCAGGCCAGCAUCGGCUCUCCCAGGGGGAUAAAGGUCGCGGGAACGUAGCUCUCUCCGGGGAGUGUUAUAGCCCGUGGCGGAAUGCCCUUAGGGGGGGCCGAGGCCCGCGUUCGCAAGGAUGCUGGCGUAAUGGUCACCAGCGACCCGUCUUGAAACACGGACCAAGGAGUCAAGCAUUAGGGCGAGUCUUUGGGUGUAAAACCCGCAGGCGCAAUGAAAGUGAACGGAGGUGAGAGCUUCGGCGCAUCAUCGACCGAUCCUGAUGUUCUCGGAUGGAUUUGAGUAAGAGCCUUACCGCUUGGACCCGAAAGAUGGUGAACUAUGCCUGAAUAGGGUGAAGCCAGAGGAAACUCUGGUGGAGGCUCGCAGCGGUUCUGACGUGCAAAUCGA
rnacentral:rRNA from 1 species